rnacentral:rRNA from 1 species
GAUGAACGCUGGCGGCGUGCCUAAUACAUGCAAGUCGAGCGAACAGACGAGGAGCUUGCUCCUCUGACGUUAGCGGCGGACGGGUGAGUAACACGUGGAUAACCUACCUAUAAGACUGGGAUAACUUCGGGAAACCGGAGCUAAUACCGGAUAAUAUAUUGAACCGCAUGGUUCAAUAGUGAAAGACGGUUUUGCUGUCACUUAUAGAUGGAUCCGCGCCGCAUUAGCUAGUUGGUAAGGUAACGGCUUACCAAGGCAACGAUGCGUAGCCGACCUGAGAGGGUGAUCGGCCACACUGGAACUGAGACACGGUCCAGACUCCUACGGGAGGCAGCAGUAGGGAAUCUUCCGCAAAGGGCGAAAGCCUGACGGAGCAACGCCGCCUGAGUGAUGAAGGUCUUCGGAUCGUAAAACUCUGUUAUUAGGGAAGAACAAAUGUGUAAGUAACUAUGCACGUCUUGACGGUACCUAAUCAGAAAGCCACGGCUAACUACGUG